rnacentral:rRNA from 1 species
GGGGAAUUUUCCGCAAUGGGCGAAAGCCUGACGGAGCAAUGCCGCGUGGAGGAGGAAGGCCCGAGGGUUGUAAACUCCUUUUCUCAGAAAAGAAGAUCUGACGGUAUCUGAGGAAUAAGCAUCGGCUAACUCCGUGCCAGCAGCCGCGGUAAGACGGAGGAUGCAAGCGUUAUCCGGAAUGAUUGGGCGUAAAGCGUCUGUAGGUGGUUUAUUAAGUCUGCUGUUAAAGCACAGGGNCUCAACCCUGNUAUAGGCGGUAGAAACUGGUAGGCUUGAGUAUGGUAGGGGUAGAGGGAAUUCCCGAUGUAGUGGUGAAAUGCGUUGAUAUCGGGAAGAACACCAAAGGCGAAAGCACUCUGCUGGGCCAAUACUGACACUAAGAGACGAAAGCUAGGGGAGCAAAUGGGAUUAGAUACCCCAGNUAGUC